UAGGGAAUCUUCGGCAAUGGGGGGAACCCUGACCGAGCAACGCCGCGUGAGUGAAGAAGGUUUUCGGAUCGUAAAGCUCUGUUGUUAAGGAAGAACGAGUGUGAGAAUGGAAAGUUCAUACUGUGACGGUACUUAACCAGAAAGGGACGGCUAACUACGUGCCAGCAGCCGCGGUAAUACGUAGGUCCCGAGCGUUGUCCGGAUUUAUUGGGCGUAAAGCGAGCGCAGGCGGUUAGAUAAGUCUGAAGUUAAAGGCAGUGGCUCAACCAUUGUAGGCUUUGGAAACUGUUUAACUUGAGUGCAGAAGGGGAGAGUGGAAUUCCAGGUGUAGCGGUGAAAUGCGUAGAUAUAUGGAGGAACACCGGUGGCGAAAGCGGCUCUAUGGUCUGUAACUGACGCUGAGGCUCGAAAGCGUGGGGAGAGAACAGG
rnacentral:rRNA from 1 species